rnacentral:tRNA from 1 species
AUAGCACUGAAAAAUGCUNAGAUGAACCCUAAAAAGUUCUUUAGGCAC